rnacentral:rRNA from 1 species
CCUACGGGAGGCAGCAGUGGGGAAUAUUGGACAAUGGGGGGAACCCUGAUCCAGCCAUGCCGCGUGUGUGAAGAAGGCCCUCGGGUUGUAAAGCACUUUCAGUGAGGAAGAACGCGUGGUGGUUAAUACCCAUCAGGAAAGACAUCACUCACAGAAGAAGCACCGGCUAACUCCGUGCCAGCAGCCGCGGUAAUACGGAGGGUGCGAGCGUUAAUCGGAAUUACUGGGCGUAAAGCGCGCGUAGGUGGCUUGAUAAGCCGGUUGUGAAAGCCCCGGGCUCAACCUGGGAACGGCAUCCGGAACUGUCAAGCUAGAGUGCAGGAGAGGAAGGUAGAAUUCCCGGUGUAGCGGUGAAAUGCGUAGAGAUCGGGAGGAAUACCAGUGGCGAAGGCGGCCUUCUGGACUGACACUGACACUGAGGUGCGAAAGCGUGGGUAGCAAACAGGAUUAGAUACCCUGGUAGUC